GUCCCUGUAGCGCAAUGGGUACCUCGUUAGACUGCCAAUCUAAAAGUCAUGGGUUCGAAUCCCACCUGAGAUA